rnacentral:rRNA from 1 species
GACGUAGGGCGCGAGCGUUGUCCGGAUUUAUUGGGCGUAAAGAGCUCGUAGGCGGUUUGUCGCGUCUGCUGUGAAAACUGGAGGCUCAACCUCCAGCCUGCAGUGGGUACGGGCAGACUAGAGUGCGGUAGGGGAGAUUGGAAUUCCUGGUGUAGCGGUGGAAUGCGCAGAUAUCAGGAGGAACACCAAUGGCGAAGGCAGAUCUCUGGGCCGUAACUGACGCUGAGGAGCGAAAGCAUGGGGAGCGAACAGG